GCCCCCACUCGCACGUCACGGGUGGGGGCUCGGGAGGGGGAGCCCCCACCCGUGACGUGCGAGUGGGGGCUUUUAAAUUAAA